UACGUAGGGUGCAAGCGUUGUCCGGAAUUAUUGGGCGUAAAGAGCUUGUAGGCGGUUUGUCGCGUCUGCUGUGAAAUUUCGGGGCUCAACCCCGAACUGCAGUGGGUACGGGCAGACUAGAGUGUGGUAGGGGAGACUGGAAUUCCUGGUGUAGCGGUGAAAUGCGCAGAUAUCAGGAGGAACACCUAUGGCGAAGGCAGCUCGCUGGGACGGUACUGACGCUGAGGCGCGAAAGCGUGGGGAGCGAACAGG
rnacentral:rRNA from 1 species